AUUGGAGUCAAGGCUAUUCAGAAGAUUUUUCUGGAAAUGAUGUUGGGAAUUAAGCUCGUAAUACUGGCUGCAGCCAUUGUGUGAUGUUUGGAACAAGCUCUGGAAACCCACUUAGAAUGUCUUGGCCAGAAAAGGAUGUCAAGGCCGCAUAGAAGAAGAGGGCUGUAACCCUGGGGAGACACACAGACUGCUGCCCAGAAUCACACAAGAGAAAGGUCUG